AUAAUUGUAUAAAUUAAUUUAAUUAAAAUUAAAAUUUAUUAUGUUUUUGUUUGGUUGUAUAAUUUUAUUUAUGAACAAUUUAAAUAGAAUAAUUUAAUUUGUGGAUAAAAAUCCAACUUGUGGAUUUGAAAUGAUAAAUCAUAGCUGACACAUCGUUCCUGUUGACAUGAUUAAUUAAUUUGAAAAGAAGAUUAGGUUUAAGACAUAAAUUCUCAAAGUCUGAAUAUCGUUUUAAUUAAGGUAAUAUUUGUUAAUGGUCAACUUGUAAUGAUAAUUAACAAGUAUUUGAUUUGAUGUUUUGGAGCUUGG
rnacentral:lncRNA from 1 species